GAAUGGGUGGUGUACGGGCCACACGGUUGUCUUUUGCCAAGCCGAUUCCGGGGUUCGACUCCCCGCCCACGCG